rnacentral:tRNA from 1 species
GCGGGUGUAGCUUAAUGGUAAAGCACUGGCUUCCCAAGCCAGCCACGAGGGUUCGAUUCCCUUCAUCCGCUCCA